CUUGUAUCAGGUGAUCGGGUUAAUUGGGAACCCACCUGCACAUUGAUUGCAGGGUGGCGCUAGCCUGUAUAAAGCUAAGCCGAUGUCUUGUUGGAUUAAUUCCUCCCGAGCUUCUGGUACGAUACAGCAGUAAAUGCUGGCGUACUGUGACGGAUUGAUCAGCAAGAGCCGAUUAUACGACAGCUACAGCGCAGCAGUCUGUUUAAUUCUGCCAUUGCGGAGAGAGGUGUUCGUGGUAUCUCCACCAAUGAGAGUAUAGUGCCUCCGGUCCUGGGGGUUCACUGCUGUACUCACCUCUCCAUGGUAAAUUGUCCAACCUAAAUUGGAAGAGUGGACUGCCUUCUCAGUUGCUGUUGUGAACUCCUCCUUGGUGGAGUCUGCUGUCUUGUCUUGUUUUGUCUUAUCUUGUUUUUAUUAAGUAGGCUUACCCUUUUCUUUGGGUUCGCCUGGUGUUCUAUUUUACCCUGGACUGUUGCUCGUACCCACACUUCUGUGAUCGGGCUGAAGUGAUUCUCUGCCCGAGUGUCGUGCUGGGACUCUAAAUCGCCUGGGUGGCCGGUCUCAGCCGGUGGGGAGCCAGACCGGCCUACGCCUGAGAAUAACUAUUACCAGCACGAGUGUGAAGGAGGACGAGCCAGUGGCCCUGGGACCUCAGGUGGUGGGUCGUUUUCACACUUUCUUUUGUACAGCACUGGGUGGUCUGCAGUGAUUCUUUUGGUGUGAUUUUCUUUUGGUUCCACGGCUGCUGCUGCUCCCUCCAGGGGUGCACAGAGCGGGUCAUCUGCCCAGAUCUCAACCUAUCGCUGUCACACCAACACUCUCGACUGCAUCCAUGAACUUCCUGUGGUUUCCAUCUUUUCCUCCUGCACUGCAGCUCCAUCCACAGUAUCCUUUGUCCAAAAUAUUCAUGAUCCGUCCUCUACACGUCCAAACCAGCUGAGUCUCCCCUUUCUUUGUUUUUAAUACAGCUUUCCAAAUUUUGACAUUUUAUCUUUAUAUAUUCAUUCAGAGGAUGAUGGUUUAUAAUCCUUACAGAGGUGCCUGCUACAUCUGACGUCACCUGUAUUUAUCAUUGUGAGGGAAGCCAAGCCUGCGACGGUGUGAGGACAGCAGAGCAGGAACUGAAAACUGAGCCCAUCUCUGGAUGAAUGAAAACAGCAGUGCAUCACUUCCUGUACCUACAUGCAGGCUGUGCUUUAAGAACCCCGAAACUAGGAGUACCGGUAUAUGAACAGUGCAGCCCUGCUGUGUGUUUACUCUGCUGAUGCAUGAAGUAGAACUAGCUACACCUGGAAGAUUAUUACAGUUAACCAGUUUGCCACUUUAACAGCAGUUAACUGGAAUAACAGACUAAACUGGUUCUGUGUAAAUACUGGAAAUGUCUUUGGCUUCUCAUUUUAUUUGCUUCUGUUUUCUGAUCCUAAUAAAAUGUUAUUUUAUUCAUAUUUUCACUUCUUUACUCCUUUGACAACUGAUAAUAGAGUACACAUUACAUAAUGUAUGCUGACAUGUUUUCUGCUUCUUCCUCAC
ensembl:lncRNA